AUGCCUGGUAUUCCAUUGUACAGAUCAGGAAGAGCACUCUUCUGUACUUCAAAACCUCUGCAAUUUACCUUGAAAGGCAGAAAUAUUGCAUGUAGUACAACCCAGCAAUUUCACUCAUUGCUUUGCCAUGGAGAAAAUUAUGUACCUAUGCACCAGGAACAAUUAGAAGAAAGUUCAUGGAAGCACAGAUCAUGAUAUAUAUCGUUUUCUAUUAUGAAAAUUAUAGUUUCAUUUCUCAAGAUUUUAUUUAUUUAUUCAUGAGAGACACAGAGAGAGGGGCAGAGACACAGGCAGAGGGAGAAGCAGGCUCCAUGCGGGGAGCCCUAUGUGGGACUCGAUUCCUGGACCCCGGGAUCACGACCUGAGCCAAAGGCAGACGCCAAACUGCUGAGCCGCCCAGGUGCCCCCAAAAUGAUAGUUUUAAAUAGAGUUGAUAAUAAAUUGUGGAAGUUUAACACGAUGAAAGAUAAAAUCAUGAUAAUAAAAUAACCAUCUAAGUGGUUUGUGAAUGUUUAAUGUUGAAUGCAUGCAUAUAUUUGAGACAAAAGGUUUUAAAAAAUUAAGGGAAUGAUAAACACAAAAUUUAGGAUAGUGAUUAGUGCUGAUCUGGACAGGAAGCAGGGAAAUGGGAUGAGGAGAUACACAUGAAUAGAAGCAAAUAUGUUUUAUUUCUGGUUGGGGGAUGGCUUGACUGAUUUUUAUUACAUUAUUGCUUUAUAAUGUACAUAUUUCAUGCAUAUAUCUUCUUUCUAUGCACCAAGUCUGUAUACCAAAUGACUAAGUCUUUUAUCACCAAUGGUAGUAAAUUGAGGAGAAAAGAUUUGCUGUGGUGAUGAUUCCCUUGCUGUGGAGUGCAGAGGCACCUACUUUACGUGGCUACUCAGGUGCUGUGUCUUAUUUUGUCUGGGAGAUGAGGGUCAUCUAAGAUGUUUUAAAACUACCAGCUGUGCUUCUUACUUUUGCAAGUAAUAUGAGUGCACAUCCAAAAAGAAAAAAAUUACAAGACUCGAUUGAGCUCUUGGCAGACUGCUAUCAUCAGAUUACCUCAUAGGUUACUGCCCACCCUAUGGAUGAGCUUCUUUUGAAGACGUCCAAUGAGCUGUGAUUCCAUCACAUUCCAUGAGCUGAAGAAGCCCAUGGACGUUGCAGACAUUCUGGGGCUUCUCUAGAAGAGAGAAUGCAAUCUGCUAGCAGCUUGUUUGGUCUAUCCAGAGCAGGGAAUGAGCUCAUCUAGCAAACAUUGAGGAACAAAGUUCUAAAGGCCUGCCCUUUUAGCCACAGGGCAAUUUGAAUCUCA
rnacentral:lncRNA from 1 species